rnacentral:rRNA from 1 species
GAUGAACGCUGGCGGCGUGCCUAAUACAUGCAAGUCGAGCGAACGGACGAGAAGCUUGCUUUUCUGAUGUUAGCGGCGGACGGGUGAGUAACACGUGGAUAACCUACCUAUAAGACUGGGAGAACUUCGGGAAACCGGAGCUAAUACCGGAUAAUAUUUUGAACCGCAUGGUUCAAAAGUGAAAGACGGUCUUGCUGUCACUUAUAGAUGGAUCCGCGCUGCAUUAGCUAGUUGGUAAGGUAACGGCUUACCAAGGCAACGAUCCAUAGCCGACCUGAGAGGGUGAUCGGCCACACUGGAACUGAGACACGGUCCAGACUCCUACGGGAGGCAGCAGUAGGGAAUCUUCGGCAAUGGGCGAAAGCCUGACGGAGCAAUGCCGCGUGAGUGAUGAAGGUCUUCGGGUCGUAAAACUCUGUUAUUAGGGAAGAAAAUAUGUGUAAGUAUCUGUGCACAUCUUGACGGUACCUAAUCAGAAAGCCACGGCUAACUACGUG